rnacentral:tRNA from 1 species
AGGAUAAUAGUUAAUUAUAACAUUUAAUUUGCAUUUAAAAAGUACUAAAUAUUAGUUUAUCUUA